AAAAAUAUAAUUAUAUAUAUAUUAAAGUAGUAUUAGUUAAGUUCUUGAAAUUUAAAAAUUUUGGCGGUAUUUUAGUCUAUUCAGAGGAACCUGUUUUGUAAUCGAUAGUCCACGUUGUACCUUACUUAAAUUAGUUUAAGUUUAUAUAUCGUUGUUUAUUGAAUAUUUUAUAAAAAUAAUAAUUUUCAUAAUUUUUUAUAUAAAAAUAUAUCAGAUCAAGAUGUAGCUUAUAUUUAAGUUUAUAAUGGGUUACAAUAAAAUUAUUUUUGGAUAUAAAUUAUAAUUGAUUUAUUGAAAUUGGAUUUGAUAGUAAAUUUAUAUAGAUAAAUAAAUUGAUUUUAGCUCUAAAAUAUG
rnacentral:rRNA from 1 species